UGGGGAAUAUUGGACAAUGGGCGAAAGCCUGAUCCAGCCAUGCCGCGUGUGUGAAGACGGUCUUCGGAUUGUAAAGCACUUUAAGUUGGGAGGAAGGGCAGUAAGCGAAUACCUUGCUGUUUUGACGUUACCGACAGAAUAAGCACCGGCUAACUCUGUGCCAGCAGCCGCGGUAAUACAGAGGGUGCAAGCGUUAAUCGGAAUUACUGGGCGUAAAGCGCGCGUAGGUGGUUCGUUAAGUUGAAUGUGAAAGCCCCGGGCUCAACCUGGGAACUGCAUCCAAAACUGGCGAGCUAGAGUAGGGCAGAGGGUGGUGGAAUUUCCUGUGUAGCGGUGAAAUGCGUAAAUAUAAGAAAGAACACCAGUGGCGAAGGCGACCACCUGGGCUCAUACUGACACUGAGGUGCGAAAGCGUGGGGAGCAAACAGG
rnacentral:rRNA from 1 species